AACGAACGCUGGCGGCAGGCCUAACACAUGCAAGUCGAGCGAGGACUUCGGUCCUAGCGGCGGACGGGUGAGUAACGCGUGGGAACGUGCCCUUUGCUUCGGAAUAGCCCUGGGAAACUGGGAGUAAUACCGGAUGAGCCCUUUGGGGGAAAGAUUUAUCGGCGAAGGAUCGGCCCGCGUUGGAUUAGGUAGUUGGUGGGGUAAUGGCCUACCAAGCCGACGAUCCAUAGCUGGUUUGAGAGGAUGAUCAGCUACACUGGGACUGAGACACGGCCCAGACUCCUACGGGAGGCAGCAGUGGGGAAUCUUAGACAAUGGGGGAAACCCUGAUCUAGCCAUGCCGCGUGAGCGAUGAAGGCCUUAGGGUUGUAAAGCUCUUUCAGCUGGGAAGAUAAUGACGGUACCAGCAGAAGAAGCCCCGGCUAACUCCGUG
rnacentral:rRNA from 1 species